rnacentral:lncRNA from 1 species
CAUAUCUUAGUGUCAUACCUAAGAAUAAUCACUUGCAACAUUAGGAAGCAAAAAGUGUAAUGCUUAACCAUAAUAAAGGGAAUGGAAUAAGUAGAGAAUAUUAUCAAUUUUAGCUAGGCCAUUAUGUGACCCCUCUAUCAAAGACUCUUAAUAAUUUUCAGUAAGAAGUAGGAACUUCAUAAUUGUUUACUUAAAAGGACUUUAAGAAAAAUCCAAUCAAAUACUGAGGUGCUUUGGGAAUCAUUCAAACCUUGAUGGGGUAGAAGUACAAUUUGGCUCAACUAAGAGUAACUUAAUUAGGCACCAUACCUAUUGAGUAAAGAGGAGGAAGUACCGGUACUAAAACAUUUUUAAAAUUUCCAAAAGUAAUUUUUAGAAAUCAAAUAACAAAUUAUUUUCACUUAGAAUAUAAAAAAUCUGAGGGAAGGUAAACAUAUCAUAGUAUUUAGGUAAUUAAGAACUCAUCUUUG